UACUCUGUCCUAUGGGGUCGCUGUGAGUCAGAAACAACUUUAUGGCAAUAGGUUUUUUUGGUUUAUCCCUGUUAAACUGUUAGCUGUAACUACAGUAUUCCCUUAUAAGGACUUACAGUUUGAGGCCUUUACAGAAAAUUGCAUUUUAAUGAAAGACUCAUAAAGACAGAAGAAGCUUUGCAACUCAGAGAAAUGUAGCAGGAUUGCUGUUUUACAGCAGAAGGACUUGGGCAAGUCCCCUGUUAAAUUCUGCCAUAUCCAAUCUACUUACUCUGUUGGAUAGAAUUAUGGACGGGCUUGAGAAUAUGGAUUUGAUUUUCUGGGAGUUUUAGAGUCAGUGAAUGACAGUGCGAGCAGACUAGCACAUAUAAUGUUAUCUAAGUGUGUUUGUUUUCCAAGUAGAUGUUGAGCAACUCCAUGGGGCUUGUCUGUCCUUUCUCACGUUUCCUCAGGUGUAGAACAUAUUCAUUAAAUAUAAGCUGAAUGAACAGUGAGCUUUUUAAAUUGUAUUUUUGCAGGUUUUAUUCAGGUGAGAAAUACUGUGUCUGUCACUAGACCUUUUUUCAACUUUCUGGCUAAAUGACUUUUGUGCCAGUGAUACCAGAGUCCUACAGCCAUGUUCUCGCGGAGUUCGAUUCUCUGGAUCCAUUAUUCUCAGCCCUGAGGCUCGACUCCAGUCGUCUGAAGUGCACGAGCGUAGCUGUGUCUCGGAAAUGGCUGGCAUUGGGCAGUUCAGGAGGAGGACUCAAUCUCAUUCAAAAAGAAGGCUGGAAGCAGAGGCUUUUCCUUUCACACAAGGAAGGUGCAAUUUCUCAGGUUGCCUGUUGCUUACACGAUGAUGAUUAUGUUGCUGUAGCUACCAGUCAAGGUAUUGUAGUUGUUUGGGAAUUAAAUCAAGAGCGUCGUGGGAAACCAGAACGAAUUUAUGUGUCUUCAGAACACAAAGGCCGAAAAGUAACAGCUAUCUGUUGGGAUACAGCUAUUCUUAGAGUUUUUGUAGGUGAUCAUGUGGGGAAAGUUUCUGCCAUCAAACUCAACACUUCUAAACAAGCAAAGGCAGCUGCUGCCUUUGUGAUGUUUCCUGUUCAGACAAUAACAACAAUUGAUUCCUGUAUUGUCCAGUUAGAUUAUUUGGAUGGAAGACUGCUUGUGUCUUCACUUACUCGAUCUUUCUUGUGUGACACUGAGAGAGAGAAGUUUUGGAAAAUUGGAAACAAGGAAAGAGAUGGAGAAUAUGGAGCUUGUUUUUUCCCUGGAAGAUGUUCUGGAGGCCAGCAACCCCUGAUCUACUGUGCUCGCCCUGGCUCCAGGAUGUGGGAAGUGAACUUUGAUGGGGAAGUUUUAAGUACACAUCAGUUCAAGAAACUCCUCUCGUCACCACCUCUCCCUGUGAUUAAUCUAAGAUCAGAACCUCAGUAUGAUCAGACAGUUGGAUCCUCCCAGUCUUUGUCUUUCCCCAAACUCUUGCAUCUUAGUGAGCAUUGUGUGCUGACUUGGACAGAGAGAGGCAUUUAUAUUUUCAUUCCUCAGAAUGUUCAAGUUCUUCUUUGGAGUGAAAUCAAAAAUAUUCAGGAUGUGGCUGUCUGCAAGAAUGAGCUGUUCUGUUUGCACUUAAAUGGGAAGGUCUCACAUCUUUCCCUGUUAUCUGUGGAACGUUGUGUGGAACACCUCCUAAGGAGAGGCCUAUGGAACCUGGCUGCUCGUACUUGCUGUCUUUUUCAAAAUUCUGUCAUUGCCAGCAGAGCAAGAAAAAGUUUGACUAUUGAUAAAUUGGAGCAUUUGAAAUCUCAGCUGGAUCCCUCAAGCUGCAGUGAUCUAAUUUCUCAGCUGGAAGAAUUGAUCUUAAAAUUUGAACCUUUGGAUUCAGCUUGCAGCAGUAGAAGAAGCUCCAUUUCAUCACAUGAAAGUUUCAGCAUCUUGGACUCUGGUAUCUAUCGUAUCAUUAGUAGUAGAAGAGGCAGUCAGUCAGAUGAAGACUCUUGUUCCCUUCAGAGCCAAACCCUCUCAGAAGAUGAGAGACUUAAAGAAUUCACCUCACAUCAGGACGAGGACCAGCCAGAGCAGUGUUGUGGCUCACACGGAAAUGAAGUGACGUUUGAGGCAGAUAAGAAUGAAAGUUUCCUCCCCUUCGGCAUCCCAUUAUCAUUUCGUUCUCCAUCUCCUCUCGUGUCUCUUCAAGCUGUCAAGGAAAGUGUUUCUAGCUUUGUGCGUAAAACUACUGAGAAGAUUGGCACACUUCACACAAGCCCUGAUCUGAAAGUGAGACCAGAACCCAGGGAUGAUGAGCAGUCAUGUGAAGAGGAUAUGAGUCCAGUCACCUGCCCAAAAGAGGAAGACACUGUGGGAAAAAAAGAGCUAACUAGUCAACUUCCAAAACAAGACUGGUUCCAAGAGCUCAAAGUAGCAACAACAGAAGCAAUGACCAUGCUGCAGGACCCACUGGUUUUAUUUGAACCCAAGUCUCUGAGAAUGGUUUUACAGGAGUGGCUUUUACAGUUAGAAAAAACUUUAGCCAUGAAGGACUUUUCGGGCAUUUCAGAUACCAGCAACUCAUCUGUGAAAUCCGACCAGGAUGUGGUAUUGCUUGAUGAGUCAAUAAAGGGAAUAUUAGAUGAUGAUAGUGAAAAAGAAAAAAGGGACUCUUUAGACAAUGAAGAAACUGUUGCUCAAGCAGAACAUGAGUCUGUAGAUAGUCUGAGGGAGCCCUCAGAUGACAUUUUCCAAGUAUGUUCUCCAUGUGUCAUAGCAAAUGGCCUUCGCAAGGACCUGGCUGAAUUGACAACGUUGUGUUUGGAGUUGAAUGUAUUGAAUUCUAAGAUCAAAUGUACAAAUGGACACUUGGACCACACUUUGCAACAGUGCUGUCCUGAAAUUCUGGCUUGUCAGUUCCUAAAGAAGUACUUUUUUCUCCUGGACUUGAAAAGAGCAAAGGAGAGUAUCAAGCUUAGUUAUGCUAGCAGCCCUUGUGUUUGGGAUACUUUUAUUGAAGGAUUGAAAGAAAUGGCAAGUUCCAAUCCUACGUAUGUGGCCAUGGAAGAAGGAGACCUACCAACAAGACUGAAGUUACUAGAUGACUCAGUCCCUUUUGAUAGUCCUUUGUUGAUUGCGUAUGCUACCCGGUUGUAUGAGAAGUUUGGGGAAUCUGCCCUUCGGUCCUUAAUCAGAUUUUACCCGUCCAUUUUGCCUUCGGAUAUCAUACAACUUUGUCAUAAUCAUCCCGCUCAAUUUUUGGCCUAUUUAGACAGUCUGGUAAAAUCAAGACCUGAAGAUCAAAGGCCAUCUUUCCUUGAGUCCCUUCUACAGCCAGAAUCUUUAAGAUUGGAUUGGCUGCAUUUGGCAGUGUCCCACGGUGCUCCACCAAGCACAAGCACUGUGGAUAAUGAAGGAUACCCCAGGCCACAUUCACACUUACUUUCCUGGGCGUACAGUCAGCUGAUUCUUCAUCUAAUUAAACUUCCUGCAGAUUUUACAACCAAAGAAAAAAUGACUGACAUCUGUAGGUCUUGUGGUUUCUGGACUGGAUAUCUUACUCUCUGUUUGGAGCUGGAGAGAAGAAGAGAGGCCUUCACUAACAUUGUGCAUCUGAACGAUAUGAGUCUGAUGGAAGGGGACAAUGGAAAAACAGAAAAUUUAGGGAAGAAUAAAGAGAAUAAAUAUCACCUAAAAUCCUCCCGUCAGAUGAAAGUUGGAUCCCUGAGACUAUGGAGGAAUGGAAGCUUCUCUUACAUCUUGUACAGAACAAGAGCACCAGGCCAGCCCUCCAGGAGUCACCAAAUGGGAACCUCAGUGAUGGGCCUUCUCCCAUCAAUGUGGAGAAUGUGGCGCUCCUGUUAGCUAAGGCUAUGGGCCCAGAUCAGGCCUGGUCUCUGCUACAGGAAUGUGGUUUGGCUCUUGAGUUGUCAGAGAGGUUUACCAGAACCUGCAAUAUCCUGAGGAUUGCUGAGAAGAGGCAGAGAGCCUUGAUACAAAGCAUGCUUGAAAAAUGUGAUCGGUUUUUUUGGGCCCAGCAGGCCUAGUGGAAGAAGAUUUGGUACACUGUCGUGACAAUUCAACGAAAUGGAAAGAACUUUCUGAGUGUAUUUGUUAUUGAAGGAAAAGCACCACCUGAAAACUCUAACCUUGUUUGGGGUACUUUUGUCAGUGCCUUUCACCUCAGCAUUUGUGUAUGUGUCUGUGAUCCCACUACUUCUCAACCAAAGCUGGAUUUUGAAAGGAGUCAGAGCUUGUUUGCUGAAAUGAAGUGCUCAGGGAUCAGAAUGUGAACAUUCCCAGCUGUGCACUCCUUAUUCUGAACUGCAGUAUUAUUUGCUCCUUGCCACUGGAUUGGUGAAUUAUUUUCCUACUCUGGCUCCUAUGUUGGGAACAGAAGUUUCUAGUCCUGACCGGAGUGGAAUUCUUUUUAUAUCUUGUCUGGGGUGAUCUAGGAAUUACUGGAAUAGAACCUGUUAUAAUGGAAUUAACGCAUAAAAUAAAUGAAAUACUGAAGAUUUAAAUUAGAUAUUUAAAUAAAAUGGCUUCAUACCUAAAUUGAGCUAAUUUUAAAAUAAAUUUUUCCCAGUACUUAUUUGAUAUUUUGUAACCUGAACCUAUAUGCAGGUGACUAAUUUAUUACUGGAAAUGUUUUGUAUUUAAUUGUCCCUAAAUAGAGUAGCCUGACUAAUCAUUGUGCACUUUUAAGUAUUAUUUUUUAAAAGCCAUAAUAAAACCUGAGUACUAAUAAAGACUUCAGCAAAUGCUUUUAUUAUUUAAGCUAUAUAACUAGAUGAAUGUAAAUGUAAAAAUCUGAUUAAAGUUUUCAUUUGACCAGAAUUUAGCCCUGAGAAGGUUUAUUCUGAGCAAUUCACAGGAAGGCAUGGAGUAAACUCAGUGUGGAGUAAGCAAAGUGUUGGAUACAUUGAGUGAUGCAAAGAACUAUAGACCAAAAAUGCUAUCAUACCUGCACAUGACGCCUGAGUAUGAUGCAACCAGAUGGACUCAAGAGAUUAUCAGGGAAGAAAGCUUCACAAAGCUUAGAAUUUUGGGAAGUGUGGAAAGCCUUUCCGCUAAGAUCAACUGGAUGUUGACUAUACUGAUUUGUGUUGAAUGUGAGACUGUACUAAGGUGAAGGGCGAGAGCCUUCUGCUCGCUGUGUGUCAGCUUUAGUCAUUACAUAGUGACUGCCCAAAAGUGCCCAUGGAGAAUCUCAUGACAAGGAGACAGCCAGAACUGGCAUGAUUGUGCAAUCAUUUCCUGUCAGACCUUCCCAGGGCAUAUUCUAGCAAUCCUCAUUUGCCAAAAGGCUACAGAGAAAUUUCUAGCAUUAAAAAAAAAUUUUUUUUAAUCACAUCAUCUAGACUUAUUUUCCAAGGUAAACAAACAAAACAAGAAAAUCCUCUUCGGUUAUGCAUUUAAAUUUGAUCUGUUUGGGUAUUAG